rnacentral:ncRNA from 1 species
AAUCACAAGGGGAGCUUGUUCAGCAGGCUGAGAGGGUGCGCGGAAACGCACCGACCCGAAACCUGAUUCGGAUAAUGCCGACGGAGGGAAACAGAU